rnacentral:rRNA from 1 species
CCUAGCCUCUGAGAGUGGGAUAGCUUCUGGAAACGGAUGGUAAUACCGCAUAACAUCAUGGAUUCGCAUGUUUCUAUGAUCAAAGAUUUAUCGCUCAGAGAUGGACUCGCGUCUGAUUAGCUAGUUGGUAAGGUAACGGCUUACCAAGGCGACGAUCAGUAGCCGGACUGAGAGGUUGAUCGGCCACAUUGGGACUGAGACACGGCCCAG